rnacentral:rRNA from 1 species
CAGUCGCCACGGGAACACGGAGGGUGCGAGCGUUAAUCGGAAUAACUGGGCGUAAAGGGCACGCAGGCGGUUAUUUAAGUGGGGUGUGAAAGCCCCGGGCUUAACCUGGGAAUUGCAUUUCAGACUGGGUAACUAGAGUACUUUAGGGAGGGGUAGAAUUCCACGUGUAGCGGUGAAAUGCGUAGAGAUGUGGAGGAAUACCGAAGGCGAAGGCAGCCCCUUGGGAAUGUACUGACGCUCAUGUGCGAAAGCGUGGGGAGCAAACAGGAUUAGAUACCCGAGUAGUCCCUGUCUCUUAUAC